UCUGGGAGAGAUUUUAUUUUGUCCCGAUACAGUGUAGAAAGUGAUGUGCCACAAAAAAGUGAGAAAUAAAAUGCCAUCGGAUUUCACAGAGGGGCAGAGUUCAAACCACUUCCAUAUGAGAAUACCACGCCUAAAACUUAGGGGCCUAACAAUAACCACCAUUAAGUUGCUCAUAAUUCUGCAGUUUUAGUAAGGCUAAAGAGGGGUAGCUUAUCUCUGCUUUAAG